rnacentral:lncRNA from 1 species
CUUGUCUGUAUUUUUUGUAUCUGUGACUAGCCCUUUAAGAUAUAGGCCAUGCUGUGUUGAUCUUACUAGUAGUCUCUUGAGCAGAGAGAUCUUGUCUGAAUGGUCCACCUAUAGGUAUAAGCUGAAGAGAAAGAGAGUUUACUGUAACACAAUUUGGUCUUUUAAAUUUUUUUUUCCAGAUUAUUAUACAAUCUCGAAGUUGAGGUUGGACUAUCAAGGGUAAAGUAUAUGAAAGAGAUUCUGUAUGUACCAGACAUUUAUGCAGUUGUAUAAUAACGGGUUUUAACAGUCAGGAACUAAGUUGAAGGUGCCAAAAGUAUAGCAAGGAUAGCAGCACACAAGAAGAAAGUGUUUAAAAAAAAAAAAAAAAGAUUUAAAUCUUCUAAACCCAGUGCUGGCACUCUCAGUCCUGUUUCUCAGCCUGGCCCCAGGCAGCCACAGAACAAUCUCACUGUAAAAAAAAAAAAAUCCCAGAAAAGCUCCUGGACUGUAGAAAAAUGCAUAAGGAGAACCUGGCCUCUGCCCUGACAUUCAGCCCCUUUUGCCCAUAGUGGAUGUGUGUGUGUGGAGGAGGCUACUGGCCAUAAAGAUGUGGCUGUAGGUUCCAGCACUGUCAGUUCAUGACGUGGGAACAGGAAUAAUCUCCCUUUUUAAGAUCUGACAAGACAUCUCAUUUGGCCAGGGGAUAUUCAUCACUGGGGCAAAGCAAUUCUUGCUAUAACAGUAUCCCAUCAAACUAAAUGCCUGGGAAGACUGGCAGAAUCCCCUCCCCCAGCCCCCAAAAAGACAGAAACUAAAACUGACAGGUGUUUUGUAGGCAGCCUCUGCAAAGGGAUCUUCAAGGAAGCUUAAAGAAAAGGAUGGAGAGAAGAUUACCACUAAAUAGGGAAGAGAGGUGGGAGGGAAAAGGAGGGAGAAG